CAGUAGCCGCGGGAAUACAGAGGGUGCAAGCGUUAAUCGGAAUUACUGGGCGUAAAGCGCGCGUAGGUGGUUCGCCAAGUUGGAUGUGAAAUCCCCGGGCUCAACCUGGGAACUGCAUCCAAAACUGGCGAGCUAGAGUAUGGUAGAGGGUGGUGGAAUUUCCUGUGUAGCGGUGAAAUGCGUAGAUAUAGGAAGGAACAUCAGUGGCGAAGGCGACCACCUGGACUGAUACUGACACUGAGGUGCGAAAGCGUGGGGAGCAAACAGGAUUAGAUACCCCCGUAGUCCCUGUCUCUUAUAA
rnacentral:rRNA from 1 species